GUUGAAUGUGGAGCAGUAUCUGGGCUUGUAAAAACAAGCAAGUAAAAAGCGCCUGUACAAGAAACAGCGGCCAAAACCUUGUGAAAGCAUCCAUACUGUUACCGAAUGUAAACACAGGUCGCAUAUGUGACGUAGGAACAUAUUUUGUCGCAGGCGGUGACGUUUCGAAACGCAAGACCCCGGUUACUGAUGUCCACAUGCAGACGCAUAACGGAGAAUUCGCAAAUCUUCACUUUGGUCGGAAUUUUUAAAAAGAAUCGUUUUUGAUGACAUAAAUCUGCGUUUUCGUGUGGAUGAUAGGCCGAAUCGUAGAAAAAUAUCUUCGUUUUGUGAGAUACCCGGCUACGUGUGGACAAGGGCUUAGAUGCACUUUUCUGGGGACGACACACAAGGGUGAACCCUGCCUUCACCGUCAGUCAGCUGGGAUAGACUCCAGCCCCCCAUGAUGCUACAGAGGAUAAACCAGAAGAUAGAAGAUUAAUGGAUGGAUAUCUUUUGACCAGCUUGUGCACCGGGUGUGAUUUAAAAGAAGCAACGACGAGGAGCUCAACAAGCUGCUGGGCGGAGUGACGAUCGCUCAGGGCGGCGUGCUGCCCAACAUCCAGGCUGUGCUGCUGCCCAAGAAGACCGAGAAGCCCGCCAAGUCCAAGUAAAGCAUCCACAUCCUGCAACAAACCAACGGCUCUUUUCAGAGCCACACACAAACUCUCAAUGAGCAUCUCAACGCUGGUACUCGACUUGAAUCCCAAAGUUAUUUCACUCGUCCAUGUGUUUGGAGUUAAACUGUGGUCUUCUAGAUUCAUAUAUCUGACUUUAUCAUCUAUGUUGCCAAUACUGGUAUGACCUACUCUAACAGAAAAAUCUUUAUUUCUGUCAAACAGACACUGAUUUACUGAGGUCCAUAUGAGAACUUUCCUCAUUACAGCAGGGAUGAGCCUUGUCUAUUUUUGUUGUAAUAUUAAAUGAUCAACCUUUAAGCAAUUAUUUAGAAAAUGAAAUAUUUGUGUUGUGUGUAGUUUUGCAUGGUUCUGGAGGUUACAGUCAGCAUUUAUCCAGCAAACCAAACGUCCUUUUCAGGGCCACACAUCUUCUCUGAUUAAGAUCAUGUCCACCUGUGAUUCUGAUGGUUCCGCUGCAGUCUCUGAAAUAAAUGUUGCCUAAGCUGUUGUAGUUCCUGCACAUGUUUGAAUUUCUCAUUUAAAUGUUGUGUGUAACUGCUAAUAAUUCUGGUUGAAAUAAAUCUUAACAGAAUGAA